rnacentral:rRNA from 1 species
UACAGAGGGUGCAAGCGUUAAUCGGAAUUACUGGGCGUAAAGCGUGCGUAGACGGUUAUGUAAGUCGGGUGUGAAAACCUGAGGCUCAACCUCGGGCUUGCAGUGGGUACGGGCAGACUAGAGGCAGGUAGGGGAGAAUGGAAUUCCCGGUGUAGCGGUGAAAUGCGCAGAUAUCGGGAAGAACACCGAUGGCGAAGGCAGGUCUCUGGGCAUUAACUGACGCUGAGGAGCGAAAGCAUGGGGAGCGAACAGG